GAUUUUAAGCUUCCUACGGGAGGCUGCAGUGGGGAAUCUUGCGCAAUGGGCGAAAGCCUGACGCAGCCAUGCCGCGUGAAUGAUGAAGGUCUUAGGAUUGUAAAAUUCUUUCACCGGGGACGAUAAUGACGGUACCCGGAGAAGAAGCCCCGGCUAACUUCGUGCCAGCAGCCGCGGUAAUACGAAGGGGGCUAGCGUUGCUCGGAAUUACUGGGCGUAAAGGGAGCGUAGGCGGACAUUUAAGUCAGGGGUGAAAUCCCGGGGCUCAACCUCGGAAUUGCCUUUGAUACUGGGUGUCUUGAGUAUGAGAGAGGUGUGUGGAACUCCGAGUGUAGAGGUGAAAUUCGUAGAUAUUCGGAAGAACACCAGUGGCGAAGGCGACACACUGGCUCAUUACUGACGCUGAGGCUCGAAAGCGUGGGGAGCAAACAGGAUUAGAUACCCUUGUAGUCGAAUUCUU
rnacentral:rRNA from 1 species